rnacentral:piRNA from 1 species
UUUGAACAUCCCUGACAGAUGGUCACAAGU